rnacentral:rRNA from 1 species
CGCCCGUCGCUCCUACCGAUUGGGUGUGCUGGUGAAGUGUUCGGAUUGGCGACGCCGGGCGGUUCGCCGCCUGACGCCGCCGAGAAGUUCAUUAAACCCUCCCACCUAGAGGAAGGAGAAGUCGUAACAAGGUUUCC